AACAGCAAUGAGCAACAUAUAAUAUUAGGAGCAAUCAUAUAUUAUCAGCUAAUGGAUUUUUGUUUACUUGUGACCUUAAAUCUGAAUCAAUAAUAUACGUUUGUUUUCAAAUACAGUUUUAGAUAAAACCAUUAACCAUCAUUUUUAAAAAAAAAAUUAUGUAGUCAUGUGUACCAAGUGAUACAUUUAAGUGAGUACACUCUUUAUCUCAGAAAGUAUUGAUUUUUUCCGGGAUUUGUUUUCCAGAACAUUAAGGAAACAAUUGCUGCUCUACAAUUUUAUAUUCAUGUUAAUUUUGGGGGUAAAACCACUACCUAUUUUUGAUUUUCAAAUGAAAAUGAUAUUAAAAAUUCCAUAAAUAGAUUGAGUAUUUAUUAAAAUACAUUUUAGCGUUGAAAUUUCUGAUUUCCGUCAAUCCGUCGCUCCACCCCUCUUAGUCAAGGUCUGGAGACACCCUUGAAAACCGGGAAUAAACGUAGGAAAUACUGCAAAAUAUACGGCAUUCGGGUUUUUUGUUGGUAUAUGAUUAGAAGUUAUUGUGGAGACCUAUAUUUUUUAUUGAAUACUUAAUGCCUUUUGUAGACGUGGCAAAGUUUUCAAAACAUUCUUGUUAUUUUUUAUUAAGGCAUUAUAUAAUAUUAUAUUAGACAAUGUUCUGCUCACAAGAAAUAUGUAAUUUUUUUUUUUAUAGAAUUAUUUACAUUUAUAACAAUGUGGCUUUAAGAUUAAAAUGCGACCGAGUCCUUGGUAUUUUAUAUACAACGGAGCAUUUGUUGUUCAAGUCUUCGAGAGAGAUUCAUAUCCUAUAUUAUGUUACUUUCAAGCGAAACAUUUCUGUACUAGUCAAAUAAAAAGAUCCGAUACCGGGGACGGGUGCGGCCCAUAUAGGCACACAUUGAGUGUGAAUUUAGGGACUGCUAGAAUAAUUUAUAGUACACAUAUACGUGAGAGGCAUUCUCCUCCAACUCCCUAAUACUACAAUAAACUACAUUAC